GACGAACGCUGGCGGCGUGCCUAAUACAUGCAAGUCGAACGCAGUGGGGACGGGUGAGUAACACGUGGGUAACCUCCCAUCAGAGGGGAUAACACUUGGAAACAGGUGCUAAACCGAUACUGAUGGAUGGACCCGCGGUGCAUUAGCUAGUUGGUGAGGUAACGGCUCACCAAGGCCACGAUGCAUAGCGGGCCUGAGAGGGUGAUCGGCCACACGGGGACUGAGACACGGCCCAGACGCCUACGGGAGGAAGCAGGAGGGAAUAUUCGGCAAUGGGCGAAAGUCUGACCUAGCAACGCAGCGUGAGUGAAGAAGGUGUUCGGAGCGUAAAACUCUGUUGUUAGAGAAGCGGUAUCUAACCAGAAAGCCACGGCUAACUACGUGCCAGCAGCCGCGGUAAUAC
rnacentral:rRNA from 1 species